UUUAUCUUUUUUUUUUUAGAUCCUCUCUUUGCUUCUGACUCUACAAUGUGCUUUUGAAAAGAUCUUUUGAGGUUGUAUCUAUUUGUGGAUUAUUGGGCUUCCUAAAUCUGAAUGUUCACAUCUUUUCCAAGACUUAGAAAGUUUUCAGUUGUUAUUAAACAGGUUUUCCAUAUUCUUUCCCAUUUCUUUACUCUCUGGAAUUCCCAUAAUGUAAACAUUUCUUUAUUUAGUGUUGUCCCAUUAGUUUCAUAGGUUUUCUGCAUUUUUUUUUUGGUCUGACUGGGUUAUAUCAAAAACCAUUUUCAAGUUCAAAAAUUCUUUCUUCUUCAUGAAGAAUUCUUCAUAAAUUCUUCAUUUUCUAUUGCUGAAACUCUCAUUGGUUUUUUAAUUUUAUUCAUUCAAUUAUUUAAUUCAAGAUUUAUGUUUGGUUAUUUUUUAUAAUAUUGAUAUCUGUUGAAUUUCCCAUUCAGCUCACAAUUUUUUUUUCUGAUUUCAUGGAAUUAUCUAUCUGUAUUCACUUCUAUUUCACUGAGUUUUGUUAAGAUCAUUAUUUUUAAUUAUUUUUAAGGCAUUUUAUAAAUUUUCUUUUUUUGAGGUCUGUUACUGGAGAAUUGUUUUGUAAGUUUAGAGGUGUUGAUACUGUUUGGCUGUGUCCCCACCCAAAAUCUCACUUUUAAUUGUAAUCUACAUAAUUCGAAUGGGUCAAGGGCAGGACCAGGUGCUGUAAUUGGAUCAUGGGGGCAGUUUCUGCCAUGCUGUUCUCAUGAGAAUGAGUGAGUUCUCAUGAGAUCUGAUGGUUGUAUAAGCAUCUGACAUUUCCCCUGCUUGUUCUUCUCCUUCCUGAUGCCUUCCAAAGAAGCUGCCUUGCUUCCCCAUCACCUUCUGCCAUGAUUAUAAGUUUCCUGAGGCCUCCCCAGCCAUGCUGAACUGUGAGUCAUUUAACCUCUUUCCUUUAUAAGUUACCCAGCCUCAGGUAGGUCUUUAUAACAGCGUGAAAAUGGACUAAUACAGGUGCUAUGUUUCUUUGCUGUUUCACGUUUGUGUCACUACACUAAUAUCUGAAUACUCACAUCUUCUAAUUUUAUGUAGUAGCUUUUGUAGGAAAAUAUGUUUUCUAUGGAUGUGUCCUUUAGUGUCAGUAGGGUAAGCAUUUUGGCUUUGGUUCUGGGUGGGUGCAAUAGUGUAGUUCACAUGUGAUUUAUUUGGGUAUUUUCAACAUUAGUGGUGUCUGUGAAUGCCUCAUUGGGUUAGACUGCAGGUGUCUGUGCCAGUUAUGUUUUGACUUUGCUAAGUGAAGGGGUCACCAGGAGGACUGCCUCUCAGGUCUCUAUUGCAAGGGGUAUGCUAGCACAUGGCAACUCCACUGGUUAAAUUGAUGAGGUUGCUAAUGGCAGUGGGCCUGAAAUGAACUGGUCAUUGGGCCCUUGGUGUUCGGUGGGGGUGUGCAGUAACUUUGCUACUGGAGUGGGCCAGGUCACUGGCAGUUGUUGACCCUGGAGAGGCCAGUCCUUAGACUUCUGGGGAUGUUUGAGCACUUGGAGGCUCUGCUGCUGGAAGAAUAUGGACACCAGUGGCAGUGGGCACUAGUUGGGCUGCUCAUGGGCCUCUGGAUUGGUCAUGUGGCAUCCCAACCACUAGACUGAGUGGGGAUAGCUGCCACAGCAAGCCCCAACCAGACUGGUCCUUGUGCCCAUGUGUGGGUAUGUGAGCAUUUGGCUGCUUUACUACUGGAGUGGGCAGAGUUACUGACAGUGAUGGGCCCUUGUACACUGGUCCUUGGGCCCCUUAUGGGGGUGCACAGGUGAGCAGCAGUUCUAGUGCUGGUGCAAAUGGCAGCAGAAAUAAUUUUAUUCUGGAGCCAGAAGAGUUGUGCUAUGUAUUUCUUUCCCAGAUCGCAAUAGAAGUGGAUUUUAGGAACUCAGAUAUUGAAGGGUGAAAAACUAGUGCCCUGUUUUUCAGAGGUAAAAACUGUUAAUCCUGAUAUCACAUGCAGUACCCUUUUUUGCCUCUUCUUCUUUCUUGGUUGCUACAUUAACAUGACAUGGCUGGGUGACACAUGUCUCUUGGUUUCUUGGUAAAGCUGUGCAAAAGGCUUGUCUUUAUUAGAUCUCAGAGUUUUCCCAGUCCUAAAAGCCACAAACAGGAUAUAAAU
rnacentral:lncRNA from 1 species